rnacentral:rRNA from 1 species
CCUACGGGAGACAGCAGUAGGGAAUCUUCCACAAUGGGCGAAAGCCUGAUGGAGCAACGCCGCGUGGGUGAAGAAGGUCUUCGGAUCGUAAAACCCUGUUGUUAGAGAAGAAAGUGCGUGAGAGUAACUGUUCACGUUUCGACGGUAUCUAACCAGAAAGCCACGGCUAACUACGUGCCAGCAGCCGCGGUAAUACGUAGGUGGCAAGCGUUAUCCGGAUUGAUUGGGCGUAAAGGGAACGCAGGCGGUCUUUUAAGUCUGAUGUGAAAGCCUUCGGCUUAACCGGAGUAGUGCAUUGGAAACUGGGAGACUUGAGUGCAGAAGAGGAGAGUGGAACUCCAUGUGUAGCGGUGAAAUGCGUAGAUAUAUGGAAGAACACCAGUGGCGAAAGCGGCUCUCUGGUCUGUAACUGACGCUGAGGUUCGAAAGCGUGGGUAGCAAACAGGAUUAGAUACCCGGGUAGUC